GCCUGGGUGGCUCAGUCGGUUAAACGCCUGACUUCGGUUCAGGUCAUGAUCUCACAGUUUGUGGGUUCAAGCCCCGUGUCAGGCU
rnacentral:tRNA from 1 species